GUUCUGCUCUUCCUCCGACAGCCACGCAGCGAGCUCACGAGGCAGCCUCCACACAUAAUGAAAGCAAACGCCACCAUAAAUCUCCCGCUCGGCGGAGGUCACUUCAGAAAAAUCGCCCGCUGCUCAAAUAAGCACCGGCUCUGCUGAGGCACAUGGAAGGCGAAAAACACCGACUGUGAUAAACACCAGCAGCUCCCUGCCUUCCACCUCCCUGCUGCAAAAUGGAUCAAUCUAUAAUAAGUAGUAGUUAUAUAUCAUAAGGCAGCAAUUCCUUUUAGUUGUUCCACUAUAAAAAAGCAUCCAGAUUUAGAACUUGACAGGAACCAGUAUCGCCUGCCCCCCAGAGCCGGCAGAAAGUCUGUGUAUGUCAUUCAGCCAGCAUGGAGUCUGGGUGUUUUAAAAGCUUUAAUUUGAAGGGGAUAAAAAACCUGGGCGUUAAGCAAUUUGGCUGUGGAUAUUUAAUGCAUCAGCCAUGCUAUAGAAUUGGAGUCCUCUAUUUAAAAUGAGAAAUUGAAAACUUACACACUCUGUAGGCAAGGUGUAAGUAAAUGUAGGAUGGUAAGCAGAAAUCAGCUGAGAACCUGCAGAAAUGCCAUUAGAAGGACUAAUGGCAUGGUUCAGAAGUGGCCUUAAACAAAUGCUAGGGUGUCGUUUGUAAGUGUGUAAAACAGGUCUGGCUUUUAAUUAGCAGGAGCCAUCUCUCCCUGUGUUUAGGAAAAGGCAUUACUUCUCAAAGAGAAUAUCCUAACGGGGUCUACAUAGGGACCAGGAGGAAACAAUGGCCUGGGAGUUGAGAUUUCCCUCAAGGCACGUUCCUCCUCAAUGGCAGCGUGGAGAUUGGAACUCAGUCUCCUUAUCUCUAAUUUCUACUCUAACACACUUAUUGUAGGUAGAAAAAUGCAUCCCAAAGAUGCCUACUUCUUAAUCCCCAGAACCCGUACAUACAGCACCUUACAUGGCAAAAGCGACUUUGCAGAUAUGAUUAAGUGUUUUGAGAUAGGGAGAUUACCAGGUGGCCCAACGGAAUCACAAGGGGCCUGAUAUGUAUGAGAGGGAGCAGGAGAGUGAGGGUCAGAGUCAGAGAGAUACUGGAAGAUGCUAUACCACUAGCUUUGAAGAUGAAGGAAGGGUCCACAAGCCAAGGAAUGCAGGCAGCCUCUAAAUGCAGGAAAAGGUUUACUCCAUUCAUUAGAGGAAAUGACAGAACUCAUGAUAGCAAUGCUAUCAAGAAGGAAGUUUCAGUUUAAGAACCCCUCUGGGCUUGCAGAAUGACACACACUGCAGCCAAGAUGGUGCUACUACAAGAAAUGGACUCCCCAGCACAUUAUUGAAGAAAAAAAAAACCUGCAGCAAUCAAAAAAAAAAAAGAGGGGAUGGGGGCAAAGCUUUAACUUCAGCUGGAAGUGAUGAAAAUUAAUUGUUAGUAGAAGAGACCUUAUGCUACUAAAAUAAUAAUCAUCACUUCAAAUAUUUCCUGCUCUUGAAAUAUUUUGUCAGUGCCCUGUGAUAUCAAGAAAUAAAGUUACGUUCAUUUCCA